rnacentral:misc_RNA from 1 species
UACGGAGGGUGCGAGCGUUAAUCGGAAUUACUGGGCGUAAAGCGCACGUAGGCGGAUCAGUCAGUCAGAGGUGAAAUCCCAGGGCUCAACCCUGGAACUGCCUUUGAUACUGCUGGUCUAGAGAUCGAGAGAGGUGAGUGGAAUUCAGAGUGUAGAGGUUAAAUUCGUAGAUAUUCGGAGGAACACCAGUGGAGAAGGCGGAUCAAUGGAUCGAAACUGACGCUGAGGUGCGAAAGCGUGGGGAGCAAACAGG